rnacentral:sRNA from 1 species
UGACUAAUGGAGAUGAUUCAAAAGGGUC